GACGAACGCUGGCGGCGUGCUUAACACAUGCAAGUCGAACGGAAAGGCCCUGCUUUUGUGGGGUGCUCGAGUGGCGAACGGGUGAGUAACACGUGAGUAACCUGCCCUUGACUUUGGGAUAACUUCAGGAAACUGGGGCUAAUACCGGAUAGGAGCUCCUGCUGCAUGGUGGGGGUUGGAAAGUUUCGGCGGUUGGGGAUGGACUCGCGGCUUAUCAGCUUGUUGGUGGGGUAGUGGCUUACCAAGGCUUUGACGGGUAGCCGGCCUGAGAGGGUGACCGGCCACAUUGGGACUGAGAUACGGCCCAGACUCCUACGGGAGGCAGCAGUGGGGAAUAUUGCAAGAUGGGCGGAAGCCUGAUGCAGCAACGCCGCGUGCGGGAUGACGGCCUUCGGGUUGUAAACCGCUUUCGCCUGUGACGAAGCGUGAGUGACGGUAAUGGGUAAAGAGGCACCGGCUAACUACGUG
rnacentral:rRNA from 1 species